rnacentral:pre_miRNA from 1 species
CUAAUACUCCCUCCGUCCCAUAUUAAGUGACUCAAAUUUGUCCAAAUAUGGAUGUAUCUAUGCCUAAAAAGCGUCUAGAUACAUGUAAUAGAAAGUCACUUAAUAUGGGACGGAGGGAGUAUAAG